rnacentral:rRNA from 1 species
ACAGGCCUAACACAUGCAAGUCGAGGGGCAGCACAAGGAGCAAUCUGAGGUGGCGACCGGCGCACGGGUGAGUAACACGUAUGCAACCUGCCUGUAAGCGGGGAAUAACCCGUUGAAAGACGGACUAAUACCGCAUAAUACUAAAUUACUGCAUGGUAAUUUAUUUAAACAUUUAUGGCUUACAGAUGGGCAUGCGCAUGAUUAGCUAGUUGGAGAGGUAACGGCUCCCCAAGGCAACGAUCAUUAGGGGUUCUGAGAGGAAGGUCCCCCCACACUGGUACUGAGACACGGACCAGACUCCUACGGGAGGCAGCAGUGAGGAAUAUUGGUCAAUGGACGAGAGUCUGAACCAGCCAAGUCGCGUGCAGGAAGAAUUGUCCUAUGGAUUGUAAACUGCUUUUGCAGGGGAAUAAAGUGCAUCACGUGUGAUGUUUUGUAUGUACUCUGCGAAUAAGGAUCGGCUAACUCCGUGCCAGCCGCCGC